GGCUGUGGUCACAGAGGGGAUCGAAGCAGGGUAGUGGGUUAGGAUUCACACCGGUUAGGGUUUUGAGUCAGCUAUGGGAAGGGGGAGGUUUGAGAACUGGCCUCUGGGGCCACCGUGAGGGAAAGGCUCACUUUGGCUAACAAUGCUGAGGCGGGCAGGGCAGAGCAGUCCCAAGGUGUGUUGUCACUUGUCUGUCGUGCUUUCUGUGUCUUCCGUUCAUCUCGUGUAAUAUGUCUCUUGCCUUAGUCCUCCCAGGAGCUUAUGAGAAACCCCAGGUCCUUCCGGUCAUCUCCCAUCUUUCGUUCCUCGGCCCGGGGCCGACGCCGGCGAAGUUUCGAUUCGGGAGGUCAGACAGGCGUCAGAAUCGCAUCUCUAUUCAGAAGCAUCCGAUCGGAUGUCUUUUUAGGUCUUGUUCUCAGCUGUGUUGACAGCUGUGUGCAGUCAUCUUUCUUUACAGUGGAUAAGGACUUGUGCCGAUUCAAAGGCAGGCAGAGGCUUCCAGCCACAGGAUUCUCAGGCAUUCGUCUCCGCGGUUCUCGGAAUAAGUCGUUCCGUUAGCAUCUUUUUCCUCCGGGGUCAUCCGAGCCCGGCGGGCUCGCCUUCGGUCCCCCCUCGGUCAUCUCGUUCAGCAUUCUCUCGGUCCUUGUGAGGACUUUCUCGUCUCAGAGAGUUUUCUCUCCCUGUCGUGUCCCCUCGUCUCACGUGUCACGGGUGUCUGGGGGUAUUCGGUCCGGAACUGCUCUGCCCUGCCGCCCGGCCCCGUUGCAGGUGUUCAAGGACAAGUCCUGGGCACUUGUAGUGGAGAUUCGUAAUACGGGCUGUAGUUGGAGUCUAGGUAGUAUUCUUAUGUUGGCAGAAGGUGUCUGGAGCUGUGAAGUUACCCUGCAGCACUUUGACUUUUUUCCUAACUUUCUUUCAGAUGCGGAUGGAUCGACCUCCCGGCAGAGCGCCCCGUCCCAGAUGAGGGGAUCCCCCUGAGAAGGUCGGUCACGGUUUUUCUUUGCAGCGGGGCUGGAACCGGUCACUGUGUUACAGCUCUGCUCUUUGUCUUUAUUUUUAGGAAGUAAAGCCGGAUAGCAGCAGCGAAGGCGAAGCAGGUAGAAGGUGGUCUACUUGCAAGAUAUCCCAGCCCAGGAUGCCAGAGGACAGGUUCCGUGCAGAGAGGCAGAGCCGAAGUUUGCGAUCGGCCGCACCGAAGCCGGCGCGGGGGACGUCUCGACGUACGCAUCCUAUCGAGGAUGGGUCUUGUCCUAUUACGUUACAAAAGGUCUCUGAUGCCUAUUUUCUGAGGAUCUACCAUUUGAUGUUGAGAAGCAGCAGCGAGAAGAUGUCUCGGGGCAUUUUGUUCAGCACAGUGUUUCAAAUAAGGGUUGCGGUCACUGUGUGAGUUAGAGUCUCCCGCUGUGUGUCAGAGCGUGUCUGUCUGUGAGAGUCGGUGGGUCUGGGUGUGCUUGUGUGUGUGCGUGUUGUGCAGUUCUAACCUUGUGUGUAUUGCUUUUGCUUUUCAGGACUUUAAAUUUACUUUUAAAUUUAGAAUAAAAAAUCCCCAGCUGGGGGGGUUUUUUUUUUUUCCCUCCCAGCUGGGGUUUUUUUUCCUCGGUCCCGGCCGGUCUGCGAGGCGACAGUCAUCGCCUAAGUUUGGGCACGGACCGGCCCCGGACCGGGGUUUUCGUCAGGCAGGGUGAUUUCGAGGCCCCCGGGAACCGAGUUCCCGUGGGGUAGGAGGGGUGUGUGUUGUGCGGUUCUAACCUUGUGUGUAUUGCUUUUCAGGACUUUAAAUUCACUUUUAAAUUUAGAAUAAAAAAUCCCCAGCUGGGGGGGUUUUUUUUUUUUCCCUCCCAGCUGGGGUUUUUUUUCCUCGGUCCCGGCC